AUUGAACGCUGGCGGCAUGCUUUACACAUGCAAGUCGAACGGUAACAGGCCGCAAGGUGCUGACGAGUGGCGAACGGGUGAGUAAUGCAUCGGAACGUGCCCAGUCGUGGGGGAUAACUACUCGAAAGAGUAGCUAAUACCGCAUACGAUCUAUGGAUGAAAUCGGGGGACCGUAAGGCCUCGCGCGAUUGGAGCGGCCGAUGUCAGAUUAGGUAGUUGGUGGGGUAAAGGCUCACCAAGCCAACGAUCUGUAGCUGGUCUGAGAGGACGACCAGCCACACUGGGACUGAGACACGGCCCAGACUCCUACGGGAGGCAGCAGUGGGGAAUUUUGGACAAUGGGCGCAAGCCUGGUCCAGCAAUGCCGCGUGCAGGAAGAAGGCCUUCGGGUUGUAAACUGCUUUUGUACGGAACGAAACGGCUCUGGUUAAUACCCGGGGCUAAUGACGGUACCGUAAGAAUAAGCACCGGCUAACUACGUG
rnacentral:rRNA from 1 species